AGUGAACGCUGGCGGUAGGCCUAACACAUGCAAGUCGAACGGCAGCACAGUAAGAGCUUGCUCUUACGGGUGGCGAGUGGCGGACGGGUGAGGAAUACAUCGGAAUCUACUUUUUCGUGGGGGAUAACGUAGGGAAACUUACGCUAAUACCGCAUACGACCUACGGGUGAACGCAGGGGAUCUUCGGACCUUGCGCGAUUGAAUGAGCCGAUGUCGGAUUAGCUAGUUGGCGGGGUAAAGGCCCACCAAGGCGACGAUCCGUAGCUGGUCUGAGAGGAUGAUCAGCCACACUGGAACUGAGACAAGGUCCAGACUCCUACGGGAGGCAGCAGUGGGGAAUAUUGGACAAUGGGCGCAAGCCUGAUCCAGCCAUACCGCGUGGGUGAAGAAGGCCUUCGGGUUGUAAAGCCCUUUUGUUGGGAAAGAAAAGCAGCAGGUUAAUACCCCGCUGUUCUGACGGUACCCAAAGAAUAAGCACCGGCUAACUGCGUG
rnacentral:rRNA from 1 species